AGUCAACUGUAGGCUGCUCAAGGACAGCCCUGCUCUGUUAGCUAGACCUUGAGGACACAGGCUCUGGGUAUGUCAAUGUCCUGGGACAGCCAAGUGAUCUGUUUAGUAGGGAUAUUUAAACAGUACAAAUUUGUCCUGUCAAUUCUGUAGCCUCAAAGUCUAAAGUCAAGAUAAGCCACACGUCCCAGGAGGUCCCUUCUGUCUCUCCAGCUUCGUCCGUCCACAGGCCUCUGCAUUCCUAGCUCCGCACUUAGGCUCUGCCUCUUUUUGUGUGAGAUCUCUCCAUGUGAGUCUGCCCCUGCCUCUCCUCUCCCUGAAGCAGCAGUUCUAUGGGAUCAGUGCCCACUGUACCCUAGUAUAGUUCACUUUAAAUUACAUCCAAAAGGACCCUGCUGUGAGGUCUCUGCGUGAGGCAGAGAGGGUUAGCGUUAGUCACUCAUGACUGGCAGGGCUAGGAAAGCCUUAUGGGUAAUGGUCCUCACCUUGCUUGCUUCAAAGUUGAGAUCUAUAACUGUGCUUCCUGGGGGUGGCUGGGAUGGACCUGGAUGGUCCUCUGGGAGCUAUCACAUGGAGCUGCUGUGCUGCGGUUGGCUUUUCCUUCUCGGGGACAAAAGUACAGGUUUAUGAUCCUCAGCUUGGCUCUCAGGCACCUAGCAUGAACAGGUGUGGAAGGCGUGGCUGGACAAGGAAGGGGGCAGAGCUCAGACAGUGCUAGUUCCAGGGGUGAUUUAAGGCACGAAUGGCUGUUCCAGAUUCACAAAAGGAAUAUUCGACCCAGAUCACUGGCUCAGGCAUAAAAGGGGUCCCCAUCCUUCGAUGGCAUUGGAUGUAUAGAGACAUGACCUGUACGAUUAUUUACUCUUGAGGGCAAACACCAAGCGACUCUUUACUGGAAAAGAUCGGUGGAUUAAUGUGUAACUUCGAGUUAGCAAGUAGUUAUAACAAGCAUCAAGGGGAGCGAGGGCACCUGACAGGAGACAAACACCCUGGUGGGGCUGGGGACAGGGCUGUGCCUGCUUUCCCAGUCAGACAAGGGUGUCACUAGUUGUCCGUGUAGCGUGUAUGUGUUUGGUGACCGUGGAGGUCAGAAGAAGCCAUCAGAUCCCCAGGAAUUGGUCAAGAGGCCCAAUGUGGGAGCUGAGACUCAGAACAGGGUCUUCUGGAAAAGUCAUUAACCACUGAGUCAACUCUUCAAACCCAACCUCAAAUUCUUGAUAUACAAAUUUCAAAAUGGGCUGACCUGCUUGGCGGACUCAAUACAGGUAUGCAUGGAAAUACCACUGGGGACCAUUCUUCUCCCCACACGGUCCCUGUGCUGCAUUUAAUCUCCAUGGAGAAGCAGGGGUUCCUGUUAAAGUUGGUAUUGGAAGCUAAGAGCAGGUAUGGAAAAGGCUGUGUCCAAAAUCCAGCUUGACAAGUUAAUUUGGUCACAUUCUCAGGGUAAGUCAGCCAAGCCACCCCUGUCAUCACUCUGCAAAGCACACAUGGAACUCUCAUUUCCAGGCAGGGUAGAAGCAAAGGCCAUCUCUUCUAAGUUCCCUUACCCUCCGCCCUGGAUGGGGCAUGCAUUCUCCCUUUGUAGAAUUCCUUACUCUGAGGCUUUCCUCAGAGAAAGGUGGCUACAGUAUCCUUGCAUCCUUUAGAGUCAGACUGUCCCUUGUCCUCUUGACUCCUAAAAUUUACAAAAUGAAGGACACCGGAAUGAUAUCAUGGGUCUCGGUAGAAGCAGAUCUGGUCAAUAAUGGACCUGGCCAUCAUGGAACCUGCCCAUCAAUCUUUUUGGUCCUUGAACAGCCAGCGUUUAUCAUCAGGGAGUGUGGCAUGCAACUCGGAUAUAGUAGUGGUUUGUUCUAGACCUGGCACCCGUCCCUUCCUCCUGCUGCAGGGAGUUAUGGCCAAUACCUGGCUCUCACAAAGUCGAAGGGACAGGAGCUGUGGGCUGAACCUUGAGUCACAGGCUCACCCAACUUCUCCACUAUGAUCUGGGUGCUUAUAGCCUCCAGCACUACUGAGCAGAGUCCCUAAAAAUCAGCAGAGCAACAAGACAAGAGGGACUGGGUCAGGGUGACCAUGUGGGAUUGGCAAUCUUGCAAAGAAGCAGAGGAAUGAAUCCCAUAUUUUCUGAAGUCACUGUGCUUGGCUUUUCUUGGUUACCGAGGUUUGUCAUAGGCUAGAGAGGCUGCAGGAUGGAUCGUGGCAACCUCGACGUCCCCAGGACUCUCACUCCCAUGUUACCUCCGAUAGCCAGAGCUCCAGGACUGCCUCACUUGCUGGCCAGCUCAGGAGGGCACCUCAGCCUGCCCUUGGCCACCUGCCAGCCCUACCACGUGCUAUCCUGACUCAGCAAGUCUGGCAUUAGGCCAUCCUGGACAGAGUGUGUGUGCGCGAGGUUAUAUUUGUCUGCCAGGGCUGCAGAAUCAAGAGCUGAGUCCUGAUGGAGGAGGCCUGAGAUUUGGCUUCUCACUUAUGUCUCUGAACUUGGAUAAUCGAACAGAGGGGCUGUAAGUUCCAGGGCAGUUGGCACCUGGAUAUAAUAUCCCAUGCUGUGGGAUUUUACAGAAGGAAGGAGGGUGGCAUCAGCCAAGGAGGAGGACAGUAGUAAAAUUUACGUUUGUUUGA
rnacentral:sRNA from 1 species